GUGGCGGGUUCAAAACCAGCCCUGGCCAAAAAAAAAAAAUUCGUUGGAAUAUUUAUAACACACCCAACAGGAAUCUGGGGUUGUGAUGAGGGGGAUAAAACUUGUGGCCUCCCUAUAAAUAAAUUCCCUAUAUGU